UACGAAGGGGGCUAGCGUUGCUCGGAAUUAUUGGGCGUAAAGCGCACGUAGGCGGUUCGUUAAGUCGGAUGUGAAAGCCCUCGGCUGAACUGAGGAAGUGCACCCGAAACUGGCGAGCUUGAGUACGAAAGAGGAUCGCGGAAUUCCCGGUGUAGAGGUGAAAUUCGUAGAUAUCGGGAGGAACACCAGUGGCGAAGGCGGUUGCCUGGGGCUUUGCUGACGCUGAUGCGCGAAAGCGUGGGGAGCGAUCCGG
rnacentral:rRNA from 1 species